rnacentral:rRNA from 1 species
UGAACUUAAGCAUAUCAAUAAGCGGAGGAAAAGAAACCAACAGGGAUUGCCCUAGUAUACGGCGAGUGAAGCGGCAACAGCUCAAAUUUGAAAUCUGGCGCUUGCGCCCGAGUUGUAAUUUGCAGAGGAUGCUUCUGGCAAGGUGCCUACCAAGUUCCCUGGAACGGGACGCCAUAGCAGGUGAGAGCCCUGUACGGUUGGUCGCCGCGUCGUUGUGAAGCGCCUUCGACGAGUCGAGUAGUUUGGGAAUGCUGCUCUAAAUGGGAGGUAAACUCCUUCUAAAGCUAAAUAUUGGCCAGAGACCGAUAGCGCACAAGUAGAGUGAUCGAAAGAUGAAAAGCACUUUGAAAAGAGAGUCAAACAGCACGUGAAAUUGUUGAAAGGGAAGCGCUUAUGACCAGACUUGGACCUUCAGUUCAGCCGUCCUUUUGGGCGGUGCAUUCUGCCGGUUCAGGCCAGCAUCAGUUGUCGGUUGGGGAGAAAUGCAGCAGGAAUGUGGCUCUUCGGAGUGUUAUAGCCUGUUGUUAUGCCCUUCUGGCGACUGAGGUUCGCGCCUCUGGACGGGAUGCUGG